UCUGUGGAGUCGAUAACAAGAAGAGAUAGGAUCCAGAUACAUGUGCAGAGAGAAAGCUUUCCUUUACCUAACAACUCCCCAUUCCUUAUCAGAUGAACAGGAGGAGAGGCCUUGACAUUAUCGAGAAAGAAGGAAUGGCUAAGAGCAGCGGAACUCGGAUAAGAGGCCGGAGACGUCCUGGGAGAAGGAUCAGUGUAGCAAAAACAGCAACUGUCUGCAUGUAUGGAGGCGUGCGCGCUGAUCGGGAUCGGAUGGGCGCUCAAACAGAGGAUCAUCUCCUUGGAUGUACUGUACAGGCCCCCUCUCCAUUCUCCAGCCCCCCCGGUCUCCCAUCCGUGAUGAAUCUGAAUCGUCCCCUGACUGAGAAGCAUGUAGCUCUGCCCACCAAGUUUCAAGGGAACCCUCUCACGCUGGUUCCGCAUUAGACGACACUCUUAAUCCAAUUUGGUCGCGAGUGUGUUUCCUCGCUCCUCCACGUCCCCUUCUGCUAAUAGCGCGUGUAACGCCCAUGCGUGUGCAUGUUUGUGUGGGCGCGCUGGUUACGUGGGCGUGUGUCAUGUCUUCGCAGUGAUUAGCUUUAGUUGUCGGGUCUCUCAGGACUCGGGCUGCGCUGUGUGUUCUGCCUGCCAAGCACAGUUAAGGCGGCACUCAAGCCCUCAGCCCUGUGCCACGGCGGUGGUGGGGGUUUAAAAAAAGAGUUUCUCCUCUGCUGCUUAGUCGUGAAAGGGGAGCAAAUCCACACACUGGCGCAGUUGUGUAGCAGCAGUCAAGGUGCAUCGCCGUAGGGCGUUUCUCACUGCAGGGCAAAGCCAAACUUUUAGCCAAGGUCAGCUUUGGAUCAAUUACAGAAAGUGGAUGAGAUCGGAUCAGAACCUCUGCAGCGCUAUGAAAUAGUUAAACCUGUGCAAAUGCUGUUCACACUGUAAACACGCUGGGCUUCGUGAAAUCAUUGCCUGGAGAACCUGUGCGUGAACUACUCAUUGGAUCCACCAUCAGAUUUAGCUUUUUAAACACUGUGUCGGUGAAAUAAAAGACCCGGGAUCGAGGCCUUAAUCCCA
rnacentral:lncRNA from 1 species